rnacentral:rRNA from 1 species
UUCAACUCUACCGGCGAACGGGUGAGUAACACGUGGGCAAUCUGCCCUGAAGACGGGGACAACCUCGGGAAACCGGGGCUAAUACCCGAUAUCCUCCUCGGGGGGCAUCCUCUGGAGAGGAAAGGGUCCGCAAGGUCCGCUUCAGGAUGAGCCCGCGGCCUAUCAGCUAGUUGGUGGGGUCACGGCCUACCAAGGCGAUGACGGGUAGGUGGUCUGAGAGGACGAUCACCCACACUGGGACUGAGACACGGCCCAGACUCCUACGGGAGGCAGCAGUUGGGAAUAUUGGGCAAUGGGCGCAAGCCUGACCCAGCGACACCGCGUGGGGGACGAAGGCCUUCGGGUCGUAAACCCCUGUCAGGGGGGAAGAAGCCCGCCGCAAGGCGGGUGACGGUACCUCCAGAGGAAGCCCCGGCUAACUACGUGCCAGCAGCCGCGGUAAGACGUAGGGGGCGAGCGUUGUCCGGAUCUUUGGGCGUAAAGCGGGUGCAGGCGGUCCGUUAAGUCUCCCCCAAAGCGUCCGGCCCAUCAGGAGAACGCCCAGGGAGCAAUAUUGCCAAGAGGGCCCUAGAGUAGGAGUGAAUUCCCGGUGUCAGUCCCAGUGUGGUAGAUCGUCGGAGGAAGACCACCUACCCGUCAUCGCCUUGGUAGGCCGUGACCCCACCAACUAGCUGAUAGGCCGCGGGCUCAUCCUGAAGCGGACCUUGCGGACCCCUUCCUCUCCAGAGGAUCCCCCCCGAGGAGGAUAUCGGGUAUUAGCCCCGGUUUCCCGAGCUUGUCCCCGUCUUCAGGGCAGAUUGCCCACGUGUUACUCACCCGUUCGCCGGUAGAGUGAAGUCUAGCAAGCUAGACACCAACCCUCCCUCG